AGAGUUUGAUCCUGGCUCAGGACGAACGCUGGCGGCGUGCUUAACACAUGCAAGUCGAACGAGAAUCUGCGGAAAGAGGAUUCGUCCAAUUGAAGCAGAGGACAGUGGCGGACGGGUGAGUAACGCGUGAGGAACCUGCCUUUCAGAGGGGGACAACAGUUGGAAACGACUGCUAAUACCGCAUGACAUAUAGAUGUCGCAUGGCAUUUAUAUCAAAGAUUUAUCGCUGAAAGAUGGCCUCGCGUCUGAUUAGCUAGUUGGUGAGGUAACGGCCCACCAAGGCGACGAUCAGUAGCCGGACUGAGAGGUUGAACGGCCACAUUGGGACUGAGAUACGGCCCAGACUCCUACGGGAGGCAGCAGUCGGGAAUAUUGCGCAAUGGAGGAAACUCUGACGCAGUGACGCCGCGUAUAGGAAGAAGGUUUUCGGAUUGUAAACUAUUGUCGUUAGGGAAGAUACAAGACAGUACCUAAGGAGGAAGCUCCGGCUAACUACGUGCCAGCAGCCGCGGUAAUACGUAGGGAGCAAGCGUUAUCCGGAUUUAUUGGGUGUAAAGGGUGCGUAGACGGGACAACAAGUUAGUUGUGAAAUCCCUCGGCUUAACUGAGGAACUGCAACUAAAACUAUUGUUCUUGAGUGUUGGAGAGGAAAGUGGAAUUCCUAGUGUAGCGGUGAAAUGCGUAGAUAUUAGGAGGAACACCGGUGGCGAAGGCGACUUUCUGGACAAUAACUGACGUUGAGGCACGAAAGUGUGGGGAGCAAACAGGAUUAGAUACCCUGGUAGUCCACACCGUAAACGAUGGAUACUAGGUGUAGGAAAUGAUUUCAUUUUCUGUGCCGUCGCAAACGCAAUAAGUAUCCCACCUGGGGAGUACGGCCGCAAGGUUGAAACUCAAAGGAAUUGACGGGGGCCCGCACAAGCAGUGGAGUAUGUGGUUUAAUUCGACGCAACGCGAAGAACCUUACCAAGUCUUGACAUCCCUUGACGAUGCUGGAAACAGUAUUUCUCUUCGGAGCAAGGAGACAGGUGGUGCAUGGUUGUCGUCAGCUCGUGUCGUGAGAUGUUGGGUUAAGUCCCGCAACGAGCGCAACCCUUAUCUUUAGUAGCCAGCAGUAAGAUGGGCACUCUAGAGAGACUGCCGGGGAUAACCCGGAGGAAGGUGGGGAUGACGUCAAAUCAUCAUGCCCCUUAUGAUCUGGGCUACACACGUGCUACAAUGGCGUAAACAAAGGGAAGCGAGCCUGCGAGGGUGAGCAAAUCUCAAAAAUAACGUCUCAGUUCGGAUUGUAGUCUGCAACUCGACUACAUGAAGCUGG
rnacentral:rRNA from 1 species